GAUGAACGCUGGCGGCGUGCCUAAUACAUGCAAGUCGAGCGAAGCGGGGACGGGUGAGUAACACGUAGAUAACCUCCUAUAAGACUGGGAUAACUUCGGGAAACCGGAGCUAAAACGGCUACUUAUCGAUGGAUGUGUGAUGCAUUAGCUAGUUGGUAGGGUAACGGCUUACCAAGGCAACGAUGCAUAGCCGACCUGAGAGGGGGAUCAGCCACACUGGAACUGAGACACGGUCCAGACUCCUACGGGAGGCAGCAGUGGGGAAUCUUCCGCAAUGGGCGAAAGCCUGACGGAGCAACGCCGCGUGAGUGAUGAAGGUCUUCGGAUCGUAAAACUCUUUUAUUAGAGAAGCGGUACCUACACAGAAAGCCACGGCUAACUACGUGCCAGCAGCCGCGGUAAUAC
rnacentral:rRNA from 1 species